CAACUUUCAACACCGAACUCUUGGCUCUCGCAUCGAUGAAGAACGCACCGAAAUGGCAUAAGUAAUGGGAAUUGCAAAUUUUCAGUGAAUCAUCGAAUCUUUGAACGGACCUUGCGCUCCUUGGUAUUCCGAGGAACAUGCCUGUUUGAGUGGCAUUA
rnacentral:rRNA from 1 species